rnacentral:rRNA from 1 species
GACGAACGCUGGCGGCGUGCCUAAUACAUGCAAGUAGGACGCAGUUGCGAACGGGUGAGUAACGCGUAGGUAACUACCUAUUAGAGGGGGAUAAAUAUUGGAAACGAUAGCUAAUACCGAAUACUAGAAGAUGGACCUGCGUUGUAUUAGCUAGUAGGUAGGGUAAAGGCCUACCUAGGCAACGAUAAAUAGCCGACCUUGUAGGGUUAACGGCCACAGGGGGACUGAGCCACGGCCCAGACUCCCACGGGAGGCAGCAGUAGGGAAUCGUCGGCAAUGGGGGGAACCCUGACCGAGCAACGCCGCGUGAGUGAAUAAGGUUUUCGGAUCGUAAAGCUCUGUUGUUAAGGAAGCGGUACUUAACCAGAAAGGGACGGCUAACUACGUGCCAGCAGCCGCGGUAAUAC